GGUAGGAGUUCCCUAUCACAAGGAAUUGUAAAUCUAGUCUCUAUCCCUAUCUCUAACAAUGGUCACAAGUCCUUAUAAUAAUGUAGAACAAGUCAACUUAACUGGGCAGGGUCUCAAUUGAUGUCUUUGUGUUUCACCAGACUGCUGAUGACUCCGGUCUUCCUGCUUUUCUAGCUAUCUGUGUUACACCAACUUCACUGAUCAUUCUCAGGCAGAAGGUUCAAGGAGAGCAGGUGUCUGCAUAUCUGGCAUACCAAGAGAGAUGUGCAUCUACCUGAAAAAAAGAAUCUGAGGUAAAAAUGAUAUUUGCACAUUUUAAAUGAUCUAUUUU
rnacentral:lncRNA from 1 species